rnacentral:tmRNA from 1 species
GGGGAUGAUUUGGUUUCGAUUAGAGCAGUGAGGAUUAGUUGCAUGUCGGCCUGAACAUGCCGUUACACGGUUCAUUUUUUUUAGACGCAAACAAUACAAAUUACGCUCCAGCUUACGCUAAAAUAGCAUAAGUUUACCAGACUCCCCUUCAUUGGGUUGAGACUUGGAGGCUCACACUACGCAUUCUAUCUAUGUAGAUUUACGUGAGUUCACCCUUGAUAGAUUAUCACUUAAGAGUUGAUUUGCCUUUUGUGAGACAUUUAGAAUCUUAGCUUUUUGAAUAGCCUUGCAGGUUGAGCUAUCAGAGAGUGAAAUUAAUCAAUCUUUUACUAAACAUGUAGACGCUGAUAGGAGCUGUUUUAAGACUGGAGUUCAAUUCUCCACAUCUCCACCA